AGAGUUUGAUCCUGGCUCAGAAUCAACGCUGGCGGCGUGCCUAACACAUGCAAGUCGAACGAGAAAGUGGAGCAAUCCAUGAGUAAAGUGGCGUACGGGUGAGUAACACGUGACUAACCUACCCUUGAGUGGGGGAUAACUUCGGGAAACCGAGGCUAACACAGCAUAAUACCUUCGGGUCAAAGGAGUAAUUCGCUUAAGGAGGGGGUCGCGGCUGAUUAGCUAGUUGGUAGGGUAAUGGCCUACCAAGGCAAUGAUCAGUAUCCGGCCUGAGAGGGCGCACGGACACACUGGAACUGAAACACGGUCCAGACUCCUACGGGAGGCAGCAGUGGGGAAUUUUGCACAAUGGGGGAAACCCUGAUGCAGCAACGCUGCGUGGAGGAUGAAGUCCCUUGGGAUGUAAACUCCUUUCGACCGGGACGAUAAUGACGGUACCGGUAGAAGAAGCCCCGGCUAACUCUGUGCCAGCAGCCGCGGUAAUACAGAGGGGGCAAGCGUUGUUCGGAAUUAUUGGGCGUAAAGGGUGCGUAGGCGGUGCGGUAAGUCUUCUGUGAAAUCUCCGGGCUCAACUCGGAGUCUGCAGGAGAAACUGCCGUGCUUGAGUAUGGGAGAGGUGAGUGGAAUUCCUGGUGUAGCGGUGAAAUGCGUAGAUAUCAGGAGGAACACCUGUGGCGAAAGCGGCUCACUGGACCAUAACUGACGCUGAGGCACGAAAGCUAGGGGAGCAAACAGGAUUAGAUACCCUGGUAGUCCUAGCCCUAAACGAUGAUUGCUUGGUGUAGCAGGUACCCAAUCCUGCUGUGCCGCAGCUAACGCGUUAAGC
rnacentral:rRNA from 1 species